UAAGCCCAACUUGAAAAUCUCCGUCCUUCGGACGGCGAAUUGUAGUCUAGAGAGGUGUUCUCUGCGGCGGGCCGUGCCCAAGUCCCUUGGAAGGGGGCGUCCGAGAGGGUGAGAACCCCGUCGGCCACGGUCUUAGCCGCUCCACGAGGCGCUUUCGCAGAGUCGGGUUGUUUGGGAAUGCAGCCCAAAGCAGGUGGUAAGUCCCAUCUAAGGCUAAAUACUGACGGGAGACCGAUAGCGAA
rnacentral:rRNA from 1 species